rnacentral:rRNA from 1 species
AGUAAUGCAUAGGAAUCUGCCCGGUAGUGGGGGAUAACCUGGGGAAACCCAGGCUAAUACCGCAUACGUCCUACGGGAGAAAGCAGGGGAUCUUCGGACCUUGCGCUAUCGGAUGAGCCUAUGUCGGAUUAGCUUGUUGGUGAGGUAAUGGCUCACCAAGGCGACGAUCCGUAGCUGGUCUGAGAGGAUGAUCAGCCACAUCGGGACUGAGACACGGCCCGAACUCCUACGGGAGGCAGCAGUGGGGAAUAUUGGACAAUGGGCGAAAGCCUGAUCCAGCCAUGCCGCGUGUGUGAAGAAGGCUUUCGGGUUGUAAAGCACUUUCAGUGAGGAAGAAGGCCUUGGGGCUAAUACCCCCGAGGAAGGA